CCACCCAGUAGGACCCGCAGGAACGCGGCUGCGCACUCUUCCCCCCGACCCGCCGCUGAAGCUGGAAGGCCCGGCCACGCGCCUCGGCACAUCCCGGCCCCAGCUGUUCUGCGGGGCGUCCUGGGACCUGGGCGGCGGGCUCCUGGGGGGGGGGGGGACUGAGGGACCCCUCGUGGUGGGAGAGGCUGAGGCUGAGCACAGCCUGCCCACCUGGACUCCUGCCCAAGGCGCCACCUGCGAGAGGCCUAAGGACCUUCUGGAAUCCUCCUGGAAUUCUAAAGAGAUUCGGAGACGGUUUCCUCUCCUAGAUGCCUCUCGCCUUAGGGUUGAAAGACUUCUUUAAAGGCGCUGAUUUGGAUAAGAUAAAUUGCCCAAGUGAGUGGGUUAACCGGAAUCUUCUGCUUCGCACGAAUAGUCGUGCCCCAGCCUGCCGGGUGCCAUCCUCCGCGGUCGGCCCGCCCCAGGCCGGGCAGGACCCCGCCUGGCCCGUCGGCAAAAUGCAGGCGGAAACUCGCAGAGGUUGUGCCCCGCGGUGGAGGGGACUCGGCCUUUAGCAGCAGCGGCGCCCACAUUGAACCCCGACCCUGGGCCUUGUCACUGUGAUGCCAGAGGUGUCUGCCUGGGCGGGCUUGGGUGGAGGGGGCCCCGGACAGCGGGAAAGGCUGAGCCGGACGCGGGGGGUUGAAUUAGAGAACUCUGUUUGGGGACUGGCACAGUGGCCGCCUUCUCCCCAGCUCUGUGGCCUGGGAAACGUGGCCGCCGAAGCUGCCGCGGCCCCGCGGAACGAGGCCGUGUGACAGGCGCUGGCGGACCAGACUGCUGGCUCUGACUCGGUUCGUCCACAGGCUCCUGUUGGGGAAGGAAGUGGUGGUGAAGGAACGACUUGGGUUUCCGAACCCCGGGAGCACCUCAGGCCCCACGCGUUUCCAGGCCCCAUGACCGAGGCGGCCAGGCAGUCUGCAGGGGCGGAGACGCUUCUGUGAAGAAAUCAACGGAAACGGAAUUUGUUCCUAUUGACGACAUUGCCAGCUUCAUGCCAGACCUAAAUAGACAUCGCGGCCUACCGCUCUGGCCUGGAACGGCAUAAAAAGAGAAGAGAUUUUGGGCAAAAUAUGGCAGUUCCGUUCUGGAAACAAAAUUCCAUCUUGGAAGCUUAAAGUUCAGGUUUUGAACAUGAACGUUGCAAGCUUUUCACAAUAUUUCCAGCCUUCACUGGUUAUGCAAGUGAAGUGAUGACUUUACCUUUUCGUUUGUGAAGGAAAACCCGUCACAUCGUUUAUACACUUUGGAUGAGAAAAGAGGAACUCAGAUCAUUCAUCUUCCCAUUGCCACAUUAUUGAGUGAUUAAAUUUAGGGCUUGAAUUCAAGUCUUC